UAGCAAGCGAGGUUUGUCGCCGGUCGGCCGAAGUCGACAGGAGGAAAGUCCGAGCACCACAGAGCACCGUGCUUUCUAACGGAAAGAUGUUCGUAAGGGCGUGGCAGAGUGUAACAGAAAAUAACCGCCGAGACACAUGACUCGGUAAGGGUGAAAAGGCAGGGUAAGAGCCUACCGCGAAGGUGGUGACACUCUUCGGCUGUACAUCCCACGGGGUGCAAGACCAAGUAUAUCGACGCAUGUAGGGCUGCUCGUCCGAUGUCGAGGGGUAGGUUGCUUGAGGUUGCGGGUGACCGCAAUCGUAGAUAAAUGACAAACACCGUUCGUCAGAACGGCACAGAACUCGGCUUAUAUCGCAUGCUACAUU
rnacentral:RNase_P_RNA from 1 species